rnacentral:rRNA from 1 species
UACGUAGGGGGCAAGCGUUGUCCGGAUUUAUUGGGCGUAAAGAGCGUGUAGGCGGCCAGGUAGGUCCGCUGUGAAAACUCGAGGCUCAACCUCGAGAUGUCGGCGGAAACCAUCUGGCUAGAGUCCGGAAGAGGAGAGUGGAAUUCCCAGUGUAGAGGUGAAAUUCGUAGAUAUUGGGAAGAACACCGGUGGCGAAGGCGGCGACCUGGUCCAUUACUGACGCUGAGGCGCGACAGCGUGGGGAGCAAACAGG